CGUUUGACCUCGGAUCAGGUAGGGAUACCCGCUGAACUUAAGCAUAUCAAUAAGCGGAGGAAAAGAAACCAACAGGGAUUGCCCUAGUAACGGCGAGUGAAGCGGCAACAGCUCAAAUUUGAAAUCUGGCUCUUUUAGAGUCCGAGUUGUAAUUUGCAGAGGGCGCUUUGGCUUUGGCAGCGGUCCAAGUUCCUUGGAACAGGACGUCACAGAGGGUGAGAAUCCCGUACGUGGUCGCUAGCUAUUGCCGUGUAAAGCCCCUUCGACGAGUCGAGUUGUUUGGGAAUGCAGCUCUAAAUGGGAGGUAAAUUUCUUCUAAAGCUAAAUAUUGGCCAGAGACCGAUAGCGCACAAGUAGAGUGAUCGAAAGAUGAAAAGCACUUUGGAAAGAGAGUCAAACAGCACGUGAAAUUGUUGAAAGGGAAGCGCUUGCAGCCAGACUUGCUUGCAGUUGCUCAUCCGGGCUUUUGCCCGGUGCACUCUUCUGCAGGCAGGCCAGCAUCAGUUUGGGCGGUGGGAUAAAGGUCUCUGACACGUUCCUUCCUUCGGGUUGGCCAUAUAGGGGAGACGUCAUACCACCAGCCUGGACUGAGGUCCGCGCAUCUGCUAGGAUGCUGGCGUAAUGGCUGUAAGCGGCCCGUCUUGAAACACGGACCAAGGAGUCUAACAUCUAUGCGAGUGUUUGGGUGUCAAGCCCGAGCGCGUAAUGAAAGUGAACGGAGGUGGGAACCCGCAAGGGUGCACCAUCGACCGAUCCUGAAGUUUACGGAAGGAUUUGAGUAAGAGCAUGGCUGUUGGGACCCGAAAGAUGGUGAACUAUGCUUGAAUAGGGUGAAGCCAGAGGAAACUCUGGUGGAGGCUCGCAGCGGUUCUGACGUGCAAAUCGAUCGUCAAAUUAGGGCAUAGGGGCGAAAGACUAAUCGAACUAUCUAGUAGCUGGUUCCUGCCGAAGUUUCCCUCAGGAUAGCAGUAACGUAUUCAGUUUUAUGAGGUAAAG
rnacentral:rRNA from 1 species